UCGUAGUGGGUCAUUCAGACACAUUAUUGUAGAUUUGGGCAAAAGUUUAUGAUUUGGGGCAUUUUUCCUAUUUUUAUUACCUCCCCUUGAUGCUCUUCAUUUAGGAAAUCACAAAGAGCUUAUCUAAGUUUACUUCCUGGAUUAUGCUGAAUUCAGAUUUCUACUCGGAUUUUGCAAAUUUUUAGUAUAUAGAUACAAUGACAGUCAGAGAUUUUAUGCUAAAUGGGCAUGUGAUGCUUGGAUGUGUCCCUUCAAACCAAGUCCACGUUUAAAAUUUGCUGAAUAGCGACAUUGUUUGGGAAAAAUACUCUGGCAGAAAAGAGUCUAAACUGUGGAUAGACAUCAGUCAUCACUCAGAGUCUGACAUCUGUCUGUUUAUUUCCAUAAGUGAAGUUUGUAUCAACUGACUGAAGGAUCAGUGUUAAAGGAUAACACUACAAUGAAAACAGCUGUGAGUUGUUUCUUUUGAAAAUGACUGCUUGAUGAUAAAGUUUCAAACAACUAUGAAGUGAGUGGAUGCUCUAGAGAGACUAAUUCUUCAAUGAAUGAAUGAUCAUCAUCAUCCUUACAUUGGAAUAAAAGGAAGGAAGUGACAGCUACAGUCAUGGUAAAAGUAAAUGCAGUCAAAGACCUCUGAUAUCACCUGAAGAGCCAGCAUUCCCAAGAUCUGUAUCAA